rnacentral:rRNA from 1 species
AUGGGAGCUUGCUCCCUGAUGUUAGCGGCGGACGGGUGAGUAACACGUGGGUAACCUGCCUGUAAGACUGGGAUAACUCCGGGAAACCGGGGCUAAUACCGGAUGGUUGUUUGAACCGCAUGGUUCAAACAUAAAAGGUGGCUUCGGCUACCACUUACAGAUGGACCCGCGGCGCAUUAGCUAGUUGGUGAGGUAAUGGCUCACCAAGGCAACGAUGCGUAGCCGACCUGAGAGGGUGAUCGGCCACACUGGGACUGAGACACGGCCCAGACUCCUACGGGAGGCAGCAGUAGGGAAUCUUCCGCAAUGGACGAAAGUCUGACGGAGCAACGCCGCGUGAGUGAUGAAGGUUUUCGGAUCGUAAAGCUCUGUUGUUAGGGAAGAACAAGUACCGUUCGAAUAGGGCGGUACCUUGAC